CUUUUCACAACAGGCUAAUGGAUUCAGCUUUAAAUGAGAGCGAAAAAGGGAAGGGAAUGGCUAGGAACCAUGUUGGGACAGACAACUGGGCCAAGCUUCAGCUCCUGGCGGAGAUGUCAGUCAAGAACCAGGGAUGGUGUGCCAGAUACUGAUCUGGGGAUGCAGUGAGGAUUUCUAGGAGGCCAGAGACAAGCAUUAAAGGAAGAACAACCAUGUGCACGUGUUGACCACAGACAGUGGAGAGUGCUAGGAAGACAGCUGACAGGCAUGCAUUGCUGUUGCAAGCAGAAAACAGGAUUUUAAAGUGAGGGAACGCGAGAAAAGGAUGAAAGGAAGGAUCACG